ACGGUCCUAAGGUAGCGAAAUUCCUUGUCGGGUAAGUUCCGACCCGCACGAAAGGCGUAAUGAUUUGAGCGCUGUCUCGACAAUGCAUCCGGUGAAAUUGAAGUACCAGUGAAGAUGCUGGUUACCCGCGCCAGGACGGAAAGACCCCAUGGAGCUUUACUCCAGUUUGAUACUGGGAUUCGGUACUGCAUGUACAGGAUAGGUGGGAGACGAAGAAGGAUGGACGCCAGUCUGUCCGGAGUCGCUGUUGGGAUACCACCCCUGUAGUACUGGGUUUCUAACCAGUUGCCAUGAACUGGCAAUGGGACAAUGUCAGGCGGGGAGUUUGACUGGGGCGGUCGCCUCCGAAAGGGUAUCGGAGGCGCUCAAAGGUUCCCUCAGAAUGGUUGGAAACCAUUCGAAGAGUGCAAAGGCAGAAGGGAGCUUGACUGCGACACCGACGGGUGGAGCAGGUACGAAAGUAGGACUUAGUGAUCCGGUGGUAUAAAGUGGGAUUGCCAUCGCUCAACGGAUAAAAGCUACCCUGGGGAUAACAGGCUUAUCACUCCCAAGAGUUCACAUCGACGGAGUGGUUUGGCACCUCGAUGUCGGCUCAUCGCAUCCUGGGGCUGUAGUAGGUCCCAAGGGUUGGGCUGUUCGCCCAUUAAAGCGGUACGCGAGCUGGGUUCAGAACGUCGUGAGACAGUUCGGUCCCUAUCUGUCGUGGGCGCAGGAUAUUUGAUGGGAGCUGUUCCUAGUACGAGAGGACCGGAGCGGACGUACCUCUGGCGCACCAGUUGUUCUGCCAAGAGCAUAGCUGGGCAACUAUGUACGGAUCGGAUAAACGCUGAAAGCAUCUAAGCGUGAAGCCGACCCAAAGAUAAGAUAUCCCAUUGUUUCAAACAAGUAAGACCCCUUGAAGACUACAAGGUUGAUAGGCACGAUGUGUAAGUGGAGCGAUCCAUUCAGCAAGCGUGUACUAAUAGGUCGAGGGCUUGACCAC
rnacentral:rRNA from 1 species